GUUGAAGUUAGGAGUCACAGUGUGGAAUGGAUUAGCAGGGUCUGGUGCAGGGUAACCGCACACCCCCUGGUGUUGAGCACCAGCGUUUGUGCUGCCACAUACCAGGACCCUGAUGCAGCUUCAGUAAAAAGAGUACUUGAUACCAGAAGCCAUCACCAGACUGAUCCGCAACUUGGAACAGGAUGUGACAUUCACUGUAGCGGCUGUGCCCGCUUUUGGCGUUGUCACUCUGCUGCUGC